rnacentral:rRNA from 1 species
GACAGAGGGUGCAAACGUUUGUUCGGAAUUACUGGGCGUAAAGCGCGUGUAGGCUGCUUCGCAAGUCGGAUGUGAAAGCCCUGGGCUCAACCCAGGAAGUGCAUUCGAAACUGCAGAGCUGGAGUCCUGGAGAGGAAGGCGGAAUUCUCGGUGUAGAGGUGAAAUUCGUAGAUAUCGAGAGGAACACCGGUGGCGAAGGCGGCCUUCUGGACAGUGACUGACGCUGAGACGCGAAAGCGUGGGGAGCAAACGGG